CAAUAGCGUAUAUUAAAGUUGUUGCAGUUAAAAAGCUCGUAGUUGGAUUUGUGGCGUACGGUGUGUUCCGGGCACUUGUUGUCUGAGUAACCUGCUGUUGCCAUCCUUGGGUGGAACCUGUGUGGCAUUAGGUUGUCGUGCAGGGGAUGCCCAUCAUUUACUGUGAAAAAAUUAGAGUGUUCAAAGCAGGCUUACGCCGUUGAAUAUAUUAGCAUGGAAUAAUGAGAUAGGACUUUUUUGCUAUUUUGUUGGUUUGCGCAAAGAGGUAAUGAUUAAUAGGGACAGUUGGGGGUAUUCGUAUUCCAUUGUCAGAGGUGAAAUUCUUGGAUUUUUGGAAGACGAACUACUGCGAAAGCAUUUACCAAGGAUGUUUUCAUUAA
rnacentral:rRNA from 1 species